GCAUCGGUGGUUCGGUGUGGUAGAAUGCUCGCCUGCCACGCGCGGGCGGCUCCCGGGUUCGAUUCCCGCCGAUGCA